rnacentral:lncRNA from 1 species
AUUUUGAUGAUUACAAAACAGAUUGAAGGGAUACAAAUAAUUUUAAAAUGAAAAAGUCCUUAUGCUCUUCAAGGGCAAAAUCAUAAUUUCACUAAAAUCCUGAUUUGAUAGUACCAUUUGGUAGAACAAAUGAUUUGAAAUCUAUUGGUGAAAAUUUCAUUGUGUUUGGACUUAUAUUUUUGAAGUUAUGAAGGUUUGAAGUGCAUGAGUCGACUUAUGAGUCAACUCAUGGCACUGUGAGCUGAUUGG